GCCUCCUUGGUGUAUCCCGAUAGCACGUCCGGCUGGCAUUCGGGAGGUACUGUGUUCGAAUCUCAGAGUGGGUA
rnacentral:tRNA from 1 species